rnacentral:rRNA from 1 species
CCUACGGGUGGCAGCAGUGGGGAAUAUUGCGCAAUGGGCGAAAGCCUGACGCAGCGAAGCCGCGUGAGGGAUGAAGGUCUUCGGAUCGUAAACCUCUGUCUGCAGGGAAGAACGGUCCCUGUGCUAAUCAGCAGUGCAUUGACGGUACCUGCAAAGGACGCACCGGCUAACUCCGUGCCCGCAGCCCCGGGAAUACGGAGGGUGCGAGCGUUAAUCGGAAUUACUGGGCGUAAAGCGCUCGUAGGCGGUAUGUUAAGUCAAGGGUGAAAUCCCCGCGCUCAAGGUGGGAACUGCCUUUGAAACUGGCAAACUGGAGUGUGUGAGAGGUUAGUGGAAUGCCAGGUGUAGCAGUGAAAUGCGUAGAUAUCUGUAGGAACAUCAGUGGCGAAGGCGACUAUCGGGCACAUAACUGACGCUGAGGAGCGAAAGCGUGGGUAGCAAACAGGAUUAGAUACCCGGGUAGUC